GUGGUUUUUCGAAGACAAACUUCUGAAUGAUUUGUGUGCAUGCGUCUCAGUUCCUGAGUCUUUCUAGAGGAGGAGCGUGAUGCAGAGUAGUGCUCAGGGCCCGGCCUGUGCUCACAGUGGAGUAAAAAAUUACAAGGCUCCGUGCCUUGAAGCUCCUCUGGCUGGAUAUGGAACUUCUCAGGACAGAUGGGACCAAACUGUAGCUCCUACGGAGCCUCAGAGAAUGCUUUUAUCUGUUCCAUCUUGUUAAAGAACAUCUGGGGGAAAUAUCUGGAGAGCUACUUAUUGGGAGUGGACUUUGAAGAAAAGAGACGUUGUGUAUCAUUUUUGGAAAGUAAGGCUGUUGUAAUGUUUUGUGUACAGUGCAAUAUUGAAACCCUUUGGUCCAGACAGAGGAACAUGUCUGUGCUUUACUUUAGUGUAUUUCAAAGGGGAAAAAAACAGCCAUUAGCAUUUGCUGCAGAAUGGAGCGUCCUCCGGGCUCUAUGACCCAUAACACAAUUACACACUGGCUAUGCCCACGCUAAUGAGAGACAACUACAUAUAAACAUCUCCACAUGCACAAGGCAAUGGCUACCUUUAGACAUUGAUGCACGUUAGUUUAUUAAGCUUGUCCAUGUU